rnacentral:rRNA from 1 species
AUACGUAGGGGGCGAGCGUUGUCCGGAAUGACUGGGCGUAAAGGGCGAGUAGGCGGCCGAUUAAGUCUGGAGUGAAAGUCCCGCUUUCAAGGUGGGAAUUGCUUUGGAGACUGGUUGGCUUGAGUGCGGAAGAGGCAAGUGGAAUUCCCAGUGUAGCGGUGAAAUGCGUAGAGAUUGGGAGGAACACCAGUGGCGAAGGCGACUUACUGGGCCGUAACUGACGCUGAGGCGCGAAAGCGUGGGGAGCGAACAGGAUUAGAUACCCUGGUAGUCCACGCUGUAAACGAUGAAUGCUAGGUGUAGGGGGUAUCGACCCCUCCUGUGCCGGAGUAAACGCAAUAAGCAUUCCGCCUGGGGAGUACGGCCGCAAGGUUGAAACUCAAAUGAAUUGACGGG